UACGUAGGGUGCAAGCGUUAAUCGGAAUUACUGGGCGUAAAGGGCGCGCAGGCGGCUCAUUUUGUCAGGCGUGAAAGCCCCGGGCUUAACCUGGGAACUGCGUUUGAUACGGAUGGGCUAGAGUUCGGGAGAGGAGAGUGGAAUUCCCAGUGUAGAGGUGAAAUGUGUAGAGAUCGGGAGGAACACCGGUGGCGAAGGCGGGUCUCUGGGCAAUUCCUGACGCUGAGGCGCGAAAGCGUGGGGAGCAAACGGG
rnacentral:rRNA from 1 species